UUCCCUAAAAUCUGCCACUGCUGCCUUGCAAACCAAAACCAGAGAAAUAAAAUGCACCUGAAUUGUUUCUUCACUGAAUUCAUCUCUCCUAGACCAUCUAUGGCUUAUUUGACACAAGUACCAACUAUUCUGUGUCCCUCAAUGGAAUCAUUCUGGACCGAGUAAUUUGUUAGCCACGUCACAUCCUCUGUGUGAAGAGCUGGAAGAUCAGCAGCAGGUAGAGCCAGGACGGCAGCAGAGCUCUGGAUCUUGGGGACUGGAAGGAACUUUUCAUACAUCUUAUCUGCCUCCUUAUCAAGAGGACAUUUGUGAAAACCCACUUCCCAGAGAUCUGAAGCAAAAUGGCUCUUGGGGAAUAUAAAUGAGAAAGAUGAGUAAAAUGCAUAUGUGUGUA